rnacentral:rRNA from 1 species
GGCGGUAUGCUUAACACAUGCAAGUCGAACGGGCUCUUCGGAGCUAGUGGCGGACGGGUGAGUAACGCGUGAGAAUCUGGCUUCAGGUCUGGGACAACCACUGGAAACGGUGGCUAAUACCGGAUGUGCCGAGAGGUGAAAGGCUUGCUGCCUGAAGAUGAGCUCGCGUCUGAUUAGCUAGUAGGUGUGGUAAGAGCGCACCUAGGCGACGAUCAGUAGCUGGUCUGAGAGGAUGAUCAGCCACACUGGGACUGAGACACGGCCCAGACUCCUACGGGAGGCAGCAGUGGGGAAUUUUCCGCAAUGGGCGAAAGCCUGACGGAGCAAUACCGCGUGAGGGAGGAAGGCUCUUGGGUUGUAAACCUCUUUUCUCAGGGAAGAACACAAUGACGGUACCUGAGGAAUAAGCAUCGGCUAACUCCGUGCCAGCAGCCGCGGUAAUACGGAGGAUGCAAGCGUUAUCCGGAAUGAUUGGGCGUAAAGCGUCCGCAGGUGGCUGUGUAAGUCUGCUGUUAAAGAGCAAGGCUCAACCUUGUAAAGGCAGUGGAAACUACACGGCUAGAGUGCGUUCGGGGCAGAGGGAAUUCCUGGUGUAGCGGUGAAAUGCGUAGAGAUCAGGAAGAACACCGGUGGCGAAGGCGCUCUGCUAGGCCGCAACUGACACUGAGGGACGAAAGCUAGGGGAGCGAAUGGGAUUAGAUAC